AUUUAAGGAUAACAGAUUUUUGUUUUGAAAUUAACAAUGCCCGUCAGAUGAGCAGGCCUGUGAUAAGCUUGUGGGUAAGAAAACCUGAUAAAUUCAAACACAUGUUAAGUUUUCCCUCUGUAACACUGCAGGCAUUCUGCUGGUGAUAAAGGAAAACGCAUCUCAAGUCCAUCAGAAAUGUGAUUUGAAAUCAUUAUCCAGUUCAGAUGUGCUGUCAGUAUCAUACCAUAUUGAUCAGAAGAUUCUCCAUUGUUUCUGAGUCAUGAAGGGAAAUUGGAAUUAUGAGCUAUCAGUGUGUACUUGUUAAGAACAUUUGCUUGUUUUCCUGCUGGCAGAUAACAAUGUUUUUGGUUUUCCACCACUUUAUUUGAAAACAUCAAGUUUUUUGGUGCAGAACCAUCAGUUCCUGAACUAUUGCCACCAUAUAGGUCUGAAGUCACGCAUUUGUCUUGUCCUUCAGCCAAUUAUUGAACAGUGUCUGUAUGAGUUGGUAUGACGUAGAAAUUUAGACGAUACAUAUGUUCUCAUAGCAUCUCAUAGAUCUGAUAUCUUAACAUACAUAACACCGAGGAAGCUAUUUUAAAUCUUGUUUGUCCGUAUCAUGUGAUCCUUCCAUAUGGCACGUCCAUUUCCUUGAGAAACAGCCGACAGCUGAGAGGCCAGCAUCUUGUGCCAGUGAUUGUGCCAUCCGUUUCUGGAAGCUUUGCAGCCACGAUGACAUAUCUCCGGAUGCCGGUGAUGACAUCUGAAACCCUGCUAACUUUCAGAGACUAAUCUGGUGUCCAUCGCCUUACAGUCAACAUCACAGCAUCAUCGUGUGUGCAGCAUUUCAUGAGGUGACUUGUCUCAUACUGAUCUCACAUUGUUGCUGCAUGCAAGAAACCAAGAAGUCCAUUGUGAUGUGUUGUGAACAAAAGAUUUUUUGGGACCACAUUAAUACUCAUUAUGUUCCACUGUUACCUUCUGAAAAAUUUUAAAAGUUAGAAACAACUGCAAGGUUGUGUGAUUUGGAUUAUAUUAAUUUUGUAACUAAAACACAAAUAUUCUCUUUUAGAUGAUUUUAAUAACUGUAACAUACCGUUUUAAUUGUUAUUUUUAAAUUUUAGCAUCUAUAUUAUAGAAUUACUAAUAAAAUAAUUUUAUUUGUAUAGAAUGCUGAUAAUUCAUAUGCAGAAGUCCAUAACAAUACUUUAUAUUAUUUGUAUAGAUGCGCUAGACUAA